CCACCCAGUCACCUGAGAGCAUACAGGACUGUGCCAUUGGAGAAGAGGCGGAUGAGCCUGUUGCCCACAGUGACUUCAUGGAGGAAGGACUUCUUGGACUCCACAAUCUCCCUCAGCUCCAGUGCAUGCACUUUUGGACUUUACGUGCUUAACAGACAGGAAGUAAAAGAAAUGGCAAGUGGUGAAAGUUUCUUUCUCAGCCAUGUCUCUGCAGUGGAGGCAAAACCAUGCAGCGGGUCUGCCUAGAUGUGCCCGUGUCAGCUUCACCAGGAGUACCUAUUAAAGAUGCACAUUCCUGGGG